AGACAUUACUACAAAAACUACUUUGAGUAUCAACUAACUCUUGCAAAACAUUAUUAAGAUCUAAGUGUAAAUGAGUUAGAAACAUGUGCAUUCUGUUUUCCUUAAAAUAGAAUUAUCAAAGCGCUGGCAAAAGUGUGAAGAACAAGAAUGGCUGGUCUCCGAGGGCCACCUGCACACACAGAAAUGCUGGCCUGGAUUUUGCCUCUCAAUGGGGCCAAGUUCCUUAGCAUAAUGUUCUAGGGAAGGACUGUUCCUAAAUAUUCAUCUCCAGCAAAAAGGGAACGUAAGCGCGAUCAGUGGCUUGUAAUACGUGUACUAUUUAUAGAAAUAAUGGGCUGUCUUAAAUGUGUCAUAUCUCACAUUGGAGCAUAACGACCAUAAACAGAGUAAAAGAACUGCUUCAGAGGUUGUGUAGCCUAUUUGCCAAUAUUCGUAUGGCGGGAACUUCCUUACUUGUCACCCAGUGUUUUCCUUUUGGCUCUGGCUUUAUGGUUGGGACAUGUCAGAGACAAUUUGCGACUAGGGUUUCAAUUCUUUUUUAUCAGGAUUCAUCUAUAAGAAGACUUGCUAUUUCUGUGGCUGAUGGCUCGUUCCCCCUUAUUUGAGUAUUCAAACAUCCCCUUUAGGUUCUCUCAACAGUGAUGGUAACACAAGCAGCAUGAGGAUUGUACUUUACCUACCUGGCUUUAUAUCAUGUAAAUGUAACUAUGCAAAUUGAAAAUGUCAAAAUCUGUGGAGCAAAUGUCAAUUGACAUGUAUGAUGAAGAAAAUCAUAAUGCCUCCCAGGCAUGCAUGACUUUUCUUUUACACAAAAGUACAGUCACACUUUUCUAUUGUCUGUCUAUACAAGGAAUUGUCAUGACUCUACUUACUGAGAGUUUUUGCUGGAGAGGACCCUUUAUCUGUGAUCAGGGAGAAUCUGAUGGUCUAAGACUAGAGGUGGUAUAAAUUCAUGGCUCUGGAGGGUGCAGAGAUGUCCUGGAGGGCUCGUCUGUCUUCAUAGGGAUUAAAUAUUCAGACAUGGCUUGGGAGGCUGAUCUAGGAGAUUUGGAAUGGAAAUUGGAGAGAAAAAGUAGUUUCAUUAGCCAUAUGUUCAUUCAUCCCAUAUUAGGUGUGAUGGAAUGGUGAGGGCUGUCAACAGCUGUAAUUGAACUCAUUUGCUUGAGAAAAGUGGAAACAGUGGAGACAAGUCAAAUGAAAGCAAUUUUGGUGACCUUUUUAUUCAGCUGAAGGCAGCCGACUUGCUGCCAUUUAAAGAGAAAAGAGGUUGGGAAGACAAUUGCAGCCAGGGUGGGUUCACAUGCUCAGAAAGGAGAAGGAGGUAUUUCUUUUUCUAUCUCUGGGACUGGUAAAGUGAGAUAGGUUGUAUUUUGAUCAACAUUUAAAAAAAAAUUCAUGAUAAGAUAGUAUUUGGGUGACAUGAGGAGAAAGGUCUAAACCUUAGAUUUUGUAGCAGAUUUUACACACAUUGGUCAUGUCAGAAAGGUCUCCCUCUCGGGUAUUUCCAGAGCUGCUCACUUUCCUUAACAUAAAAUGUGGCCUCAUUAGCGCAGAUGGGAAGAAUGGGUCAGCUUUUCACAAAACUCUCAGGGGCUGCUGUGUGUCUGAUAUAUUGAGUAUUAUAGGAUUUUAAUCUAUUCAAAUGAGAAACACUGUGUGCUAUUUUAUUAUAAACACUUUAAAAAAAUAGAGGUAGACCACCACCUAAAAUCCUUCCACAGUCUGUUGGUGGUCUGCUCACCACUCUGGUUACACAAAGAAAGAAAUGUCUUUAUAAAAAAGGGUUCCAUCUUCAUCUUGGCUGUUUUAAAAUACAGAUUUAUCCCAAAAUGUUUUUCUAGUGCUCUAACUACCUCCAAAUGAAGCACCCUGCAAUAUUAUGACUUUGGAUAUAAUGUGACCAGUGAUUGGCCAACCCUCACAAGACCUCUUAUUUCAUUAACCUAGCAGUUGUUACCCCAUUCAUGCAACUGAAGUUUUUGGACCCCUCUUAUAGUGUAUGAUGGAUUUUUACUAUGUUGUGAAACUGUUUCAGAACUAUACACUAAAGCCUAGGACCCUACAUAUUCCUCCUUGUUCUCUGAAUAUAUUUGGAAAGGAAAAAAAAAUUGUAGUAGGGAGUAUCAGAUUUACAGACAUUAUGAUUCAGAUGGAAGAAUGGUAAUUAUAGUACUUCAACUUUCUUUUAAGACUUUGUUUCCAUAGAUGGGGAAAGGGGUGAAGAGAAUUGAAGAAGUUGGUGGUGGUGUGGGAACCUUGAUUUUUCUAAUUAAAGGUAAUUUUCUUUUUUCUUUUAUUUAUUUAUUUAUUUUUGUCUUUUUGCCAUUUCUAGGGCCGCUCCCAUGGCAUAUGGAGGUUCCCAGGCUAGGGGUCUAAUCGGAGCUGUAGCCGCUGGCCUAUGCCACAGCCACAGCAAUGUGGGAUCCGAGCCAUGUCUGCAACCUACACCACAGCUCACAGCAAUGCUGGAUCCUUAACCCACUGAGCAAGGCCAGGGAUCAAACCCACAAACUUGUGGUUCCUAGUCAGAUUUGUUAACCACUGAGCCACGAUGGGAACUCCAAGGUAUUAUUCUUUUUUGAAAAUUUCCCUCUUCCAGAUUAACUUAUUUUGGGGGGAAAAAUGCUGCAUUUUUCAUUUCUUCCCCUCCUCUUCCUCCUUCUCUUCUGGCCAGAUAGUGUAUGGACACCAGGAACGUUUUGAAACGUGAUGGCCUCAGAGAGAAGCUUGUCUGGUUCACAUGCCAACCCAGAGUGUUAUCUGAAACCUCUGAGUGUUUCAUUUUUUGUGGGCUUUAUGAUACUCUACAGAAAAAGAUUGUCCCUGUAUUUAGGGCACGUCAGCAUCUGUUGCCCCUGAUGUGUGAUCCCUAUUGUGGCAUCUGGUAAUGGUGGCUCCUUGCCUUAUCUCUACCAUAAGAAUCCAUGAAUCCAUACACAUUCUCAACAUUUUUACUAGUUCUCCCUCUGGAGAACUUCUGGCCCUUUCCUUGACUUGCAUAAAUGCUGGAGAGUCAGGGGUAAAUACUGACUCGAGACCUCUCCUCGCAUGAGCAGAGAUCACUGCUGUUUCCAUCCAACCGUGGUUGCCACCCAACCGCAGUUCCCCCAUGUCAGCGCAGAUCACUUUGGUGAUCCUAUUGGCCCUCGGAUCCGUCCAUCUCUUCUUCCCUCCCCAUCAUGGUUUUCACCUUGGGAGAGAUGCAGGGCCAAGAUAUUAUCCGAAGCUCUACCUACACUCACCUGUUCUUUCUCUCUCCUCUCACAUUCUCCAGGCUGUCACCUCCUGUGUGACAAGAAACUGCCUCUAAAAAGAUCACAAUGUACAUCCUUUCUUCCCUAGAAAACCUCUAUGCUUUGUGAUUCUUGAUCUUUAAAGGGAAGAUUUAGAAGUUUAGGAAAACUUUGCUUUCUCAGGCACAAGGCUGUUGUUACAGGAAGCCUGUGCUUUCAUGACCGUAUAUACCUACCUUUUUAAAAUUUUAUUUUGAAACCUAGAGAUGAACACUUGAUUCUUGGCUGGUUCUACUUAUGUUUUGAAGUAAUGGAUACUUUAUCCUUGAUGGGGUAAAGGGUCGAACAACAGGAAUGACCCUGAAAGUGAAUAUUAUAUCAGAUGAUAUUUCAAAAUAAUAUCCUAUUACACAAUUAUGAACAAUUUGCAAUUAUUUCGAAGCAUAAUUACCUUCUUUUCCAGGGACAAGCAUGGUAGACAAGUUGUAAGAAAUGAAGGUGUGUUCCGUGACAGAGUGAAAUUAUUCCAUGAAACAAGUUUAACAAAUAUAGAUUUUUCUAUUUUUAAAUUGUACGGGCCUAAUUGAAGAGAGGACCCUAGGAAAUAGAUUGGAUUAAUGUAUUGGCAGGUAUCACAUAAUAAGAUCUGAGUUUAAAUUUGUAUGUUGGUCAAGUUAGUUGACUGACAUUACUUCUACUCUCUCAAGACCUUUCUCUGGGAUGCAAACAUCUAGAUUUGGUGACAGACACCUGAUAACAGCAGGACUGAGUUACUCACCAGGAACAACUCUAGCUAAUCAGCUUCAAGUUAAGGAUGCAUAGUUCUAGGCAACCACUAUUGCCACCACUGGAGCCUGGAGAUUCCUAUUUACGAUCAACGUCAAGGUGAGAGUGAAAACAGAAAUUUGCUUUGAAACAGAAAAAAUAUUUUAAUCUCUCUUUUCACUUUAGAAGGUAAACACCUCUCAGCACCAACUUGACUUGUUCUGAAAGGAUCAAGAAUAUGUACUCAAUGUGUGUAUUCUCUGAUUGCUUCACAGAGGAAAUUUUUGUCUUAAUUAUUAGAUUGAGAGUGUUUAAGGGGAGUGGCCAUGCCAUACAUGCCAUGUAUCUCUGAGAACGUCUAACCAGUACUAGUUAUAUUCUAAAUAAGUUGGUAUAUUAUACUCAAUUAGUGGGUUAAUAUUACAUAGUUUGAUGGUGUAAUAUGAAACUCACAGAGAAUUGUUGAAAUGAUUUUGCACGAUAUAUGGAAUUUAGAAUUUCCCUUGAACUUUGCAAAUGGAUAGGCAUUAGAUACAGAGAGAGAGAAGAAGGUUAUAUUCAAUGGGAAGGUUGGUGAGAGUGAAUACAAUGCAUUAUGAGAGGGUAAGCACAUCCAUGUGACUGUAUAGGAGACCAGGAAUAGUACUAGAAGCCAAAUAUUGGAACACUUGAAAGCAACAAAAGUGUGAAGUUACAUUAUGGAAACAGGUGAGGUCUGCAUUUAUCAUGUUUCCAUCUACAUGGAAGAUGAACUGGGACAAAGUAGCACAAAAGAAGCAAGCUAUCUUCUGGUUUUGGCGCCAGCUCUCCUUAAAUUAUUCAAGAAGAAUCCAGAGUGUAUCAUGAGUGAUUCUGAUUAUUUUUCCUCGUCUUGUUUUCUCUCCAACUCCUCAUGAUGAACCCUAACGAUGGCUGCAUGUGUUCUGUGUUGUUGCCAUGACAUCACCUAUCAUCUGACAUAGAUGAUGUGACUUGGCACCCAGGUCAUGGUCCUAUGCCCUGCUUUUCAUGUGCUUCUGAUGUCCAUACAUUUAAUGCUUUGCAGUCCCUUUGCUGUAGUAGGACUAAUCCCACUCACAUUGCACUCUGUUAUUGGUCCAUGAGGCAGCAAGCUCUGUCUUCUCAGGACCCUGCCUAAAAUUAUUAUCACAGCCUAAUGUCCUUAGGUCUCUGACCACAAGUUGUAGAGGGUAAGGGAGAAAGGCAGAAAAUAAUCUUGAUUUACAUACCCUAAACUGUUCUUAUUAGUUACAUACUGCUGCAUAACAAAUUAUUGCCAAACUUAGCAGCUUUGAACAAUAAGCACUUGUUAGCUCACUGUUUCUGUCAGUAAGGAAUUGAGGCAUGGCUUAGCUGGGUUCUCUGGCUUGGGGUUCCUCAUUAGGCUGCAGUCAAGGUGUUAGCAUGGGCUGUGGCCUCAUUUCAUGGCUCAGCCAAAGGAGGGCUCAAAUCUCCUGUUGACCAGAGAUGUCAGUUCCUUGUUAGGUUGGCCUGUUAUAAGGCAGCCUAUAACAUGAUGGCUGGCUUAUCUCAGAGCACAGGAUGGAGAAAGUGACUGCAAGCCAGCAAGAUGUAUGUCAGUUUCUUUUGUAAACUAAUCUCUGAAGUGACAUCUCAUCACUUCUGCUGUAUUCUGUUUGUUCGAAGCAAGUCAGUUGGUCCAGGCCACAUUCAAGAGGAGGAAAUUACACAAGGACACGAGUACCAGGAAGGAAGGCUCACUGGGGCCGUUUUAGAGGCGGCCAACAACAACUGUUGGCAAUUUAUCAUCUUUACAGGCAUCAGGACUUUUGAAAGCUUCCCAGAGGAUUCUAAUGUCAGGAGUGUGAGAGAAGGGCUGUUACCCGGGAUCAGUUUGCCCUCUCUUCCUGGAAAACUAUCCACAAAUAACAAAUGCUGGAGAGGGUGUGGAGAAAAGGGAAUCUUCCUGCGUUGUUGGUAGGAAUGUAAAUUGAUACAAGCACUAUGGAAAAUAGUAUGGAGGUACCUCAGAAAACUAUAUAUAGAACUACCAUAUGACCCAGCAAUCCCACUCCUGGGCAUAUAUCCAGACAAAACUUUCCUUGGAAAAGACACAUGCACCCAUAUGUUCACUGCAACACUAUUCACAAUAGCCAAGACAUUGAAAAAACCUAAACGUCCAUUGGCAGAUGAAUGGAUCAAGAAGAUGUGGUAUAUAUACAUAAUGGAAUAAUACUCAGCCAUAAAAAAGAACAAAAUAAUGCCAUUUGCAGCAACAUGAUGGAACUAGAGACACAUACUCAGUGAAGCAAGUCAGAAAGAAAAAGACAAAUGCCAUAUGACAUCACUUAUAUCUGGAAUCUAAUAUAUAGCACAAAUGAACCUUUCCACAGAAAAGAAAAUCAUGGACUUGGAGAAUAGACUUGUGGUUGCCAAGGGGAAGGAGGAGGGAGUGGGUUGGACUGGGAAUUUGGGGUUAAUAGAUAUAAAUUAUUGCUUUUGGAAUGGAUAAGCAAUGAGAUCUUGCUGUAUAACACUGGGAACUAUAUCUGGUCACUUAUGAUGGAGCAUGAUAAUGGGAGAAAGAAUAUAUAUGUAUGUUACUAGGUCACCUUGCUGUACAGAAGAAAAUAGAACGCUGUAAACCAGCUAUGAUGGAAAAAAAAUAAAAAUC
ensembl:lncRNA